AUUGAACGCUGGCGGCAGGCCUAACACAUGCAAGUCGAGCGAGCGGCGGACGGGUGAGUAAUGCCUGGGAAUUGCCCAGUCGAGGGGGAUAACAGUUGGAAACGACUGCUAAUACCGCAUACGAUUGGAUUGCCCAGGUGGGAUUAGCUAGUUGGUGAGGUAAUGGCUCACCAGGGCGACGAUCCCUAGCUGGUCUGAGAGGAUGAUCAGCCACACUGGAAAGAAGACACGGUCCAGACUCCGAAGGGAGUCAGCAGGGGGGAAUAUUGUACAAUGGGGGAAACCCUGAAGCAGCCAUGCCGCGUGUGUGAAGAAGGCCUUGGGGUUGUAAAGCACUUUCAGCGAGGAGGCGGUACUCGCAGAAGAAGCACCGGGUAACUCCGUGCCAGCAGCCGCGGUAAUUC
rnacentral:rRNA from 1 species